UACGAAGGGGGCUAGCGUUGCUCGGAAUCACUGGGCGUAAAGGGUGCGUAGGCGGGUCUUUUAAGUCAGGGGUGAAAUCCUGGAGCUCAACUCCAGAACUGCCUUUGAUACUGAGGAUCUUGAGUUCGGGAGAGGUGAGUGGAACUGCGAGUGUAGAGGUGAAAUUCGUAGAUAUUCGCAAGAACACCAGUGGCGAAGGCGGCUCACUGGCCCGAUAUUGACGCUGAGGCACGAAAGCGUGGGGAGCAAACAGG
rnacentral:rRNA from 1 species